rnacentral:rRNA from 1 species
AUUGCACGCUGGCGGCAGGCCUAACACAUGCAAGUCGAGCGAGCGGCGGACGGGUGAGUAAUGUAUGGGGACUGCCCGAAAGAGGGGGAUAACUCCGAGAAACGGUGGCUAAUGCCGCAUACUAUCGGAUAACCCAUAGGGGAUUAGCUAGUAGGUGGGGAAAAGCCGCACCAAGGCGACGAUCUCUAGCUGGUCUGAGCGGAUGAUCUGCCACACUGUGACUGAGACACGGCCUAGACUCCUACGGAGGCAGCAGUGGGGAAUAUUGCACAAGGGGCGCAAGCUUGAUGCAGCAAUGCCGCGUGUAUGAAGAAGGCCUUAGGGUUGUAAAGUUCUGUCCGCGGGGAGGCGUUACCCGCAGAAGAAGCACCGGCUAACUCCGUGCCAGCCGCCGCGGUAAUUC